rnacentral:rRNA from 1 species
AAAGGAAAUUGAACGGGGGGCCCCGCACAAGCGGGUGGGAGGCAUGUGGUUUAAAUUAGAAAGCAAACGCGAAAGAACCCUUACCAGGUCUUGACAUCCUCUGAAAACCCCUAGGAGAUAGGGCUUCUCCUUCGGGAGCAGAGUGACAGGUGGUGCAUGGUUGUUGUCAGGCUCGUGUCGUGAGAUGUUGGGUUAAGUCCCGCAACGAGCGCAACCCUUGGUCUUAGUUGCCAUCAUUAAAGUUGGGCACUCUAAGGUGACUGCCGGUGACAAACCGGAGGAAGGUGGGGAUUACGUCAAAUCAUCAUGCCCCUUAUGACCUGGGCUACACACGUGCUACAAUGGACGGUACAAAGAGCUGCAAGACCGCGAGGUGGAGCUAAUCUCAUAAAACCGUUCUCAGUUCGGAUUGUAGGCUGCAACUCGCCUACAUGAAGCUGGAAUCGCUAGUAAUCGCGGAUCAGCAAGCCGCGGUGAAUACGUUCCCGGGCCUUGUACACUCCCACCGUCACACCACGAGAGUUUGUAACACCCGAAGUCGGUGGGGUAACCUUUUUGAGCCAGCCGCCUAAGUGACAG